GAACGAGUCUGAAAUCAUCCCGGCCAGCAACGGACACGAGGUGGCCAGACAAGCACAAACCUCUCAGGAGCCCUACCACGACAAGGCCAGAGAACACCCCGAUGACGGAAAGCAUCCAGAUGGAGGCCUCUACAACAAGGGACCCUCCUACUCGAGUUAUUCCGGGUACAUAAUGAUGCCAAAUAUGAAUAAUGACCCAUAUAUGUCAAAUGGAUCUCUUUCUCCACCCAUCCCGAGAACAUCAAAUAAAGUGCCCGUGGUGCAGCCAUCCCAUGCGGUCCAUCCUCUCACCCCCCUCAUCACUUACAGUGACGAGCACUUUUCUCCAGGAUCACACCCGUCACACAUCCCAUCAGAUGUCAACUCCAAACAAGGCAUGUCCAGACAUCCUCCAGCUCCUGAUAUCCCUACUUUUUAUCCCUUGUCUCCGGGUGGUGUUGGACAGAUCACCCCACCUCUUGGCUGGUUUUCCCAUCAUAUGAUUCCCGGUCCUCCUGGUCCCCACACAACUGGCAUCCCUCAUCCAGCUAUUGUAACACCUCAGGUCAAACAGGAACAUCCCCACACUGACAGUGACCUAAUGCACGUGAAGCCUCAGCAUGAACAGAGAAAGGAGCAGGAGCCAAAAAGACCUCACAUUAAGAAGCCUCUGAAUGCUUUUAUGUUAUACAUGAAAGAAAUGAGAGCGAAUGUCGUUGCUGAGUGUACUCUAAAAGAAAGUGCAGCUAUCAACCAGAUUCUCGGCAGAAGGUGGCAUGCCCUCUCCCGUGAAGAGCAGGCUAAAUAUUAUGAAUUAGCACGGAAAGAAAGACAGCUACAUAUGCAGCUUUAUCCAGGCUGGUCUGCAAGAGACAAUUAUG
rnacentral:sRNA from 1 species